CCUACGGGAGACAGCAGUAGGGAAUCUUCCACAAUGGGCGAAAGCCUGAUGGAGCAACGCCGCGUGGGUGAAGAAGGUCUUCGGAUCGUAAAACCCUGUUGUUAGAGAAGAAAGUGCGUGAGAGUAACUGUUCACGUUUCGACGGUAUCUAACCAGAAAGCCACGGCUAACUACGUGCCAGCAGCCGCGGUAAUACGUAGGUGGCAAGCGUUAUCCGGAUUUAUUGGGCGUAAAGGGAACGCAGGCAGUCUUUUAAGUCUGAUGUGAAAGCCUUCGGCUUAACCGGAGUAGUGCAUUGGAAACUGGGAGACUGGAGUGCAGAAGAGGAGAGUGGAACUCCAUGUGUAGCGGUGAAAUGCGUAGAGAUAUGGAAGAACACCAGUGGCGAAAGCGGCUCUCUGGUUUGUAACUGACGCUGAGGUUCGAAAGCGUGGGUAGCAAACAGGAUUAGAUACCCCAGUAGUC
rnacentral:rRNA from 1 species